rnacentral:rRNA from 1 species
UGGGAACCUUCCCUAUGGUUCGGAAUAGCUCAGGGAAACUUGGGGUAAUACCGGAUAAGCCCUUCGGGGAAAGAUUUAUCGCCAUUGGAUGGGCCCGCGUCGGAUUAGCUAGUUGGAGAGAUAACGGCUCACCAAGGCAACGAUCCGUAGCUGGUCUGAGAGGAUGAUCAGCCACACUGGGACUGAGACACGGCCCAGACUCCUACGGGAGGCAG